CUCGUUUAACCUUUGCACUGUACACUCACGAUAAUGGAUCAACAACUAGCUUAAUAAGCUGCCCUUGUAAAUUCCUAUAGGAGAUGUUCCUUCAAGUUUGUAUUCAUGGCUAAUUUUCCCUUGUGUGCAUGUUUUAGUAAUAAGCUAAUUUGAAAUAUUAAUUAAAACCUUUUAUAACAUCUUGUUUGGUGAAAGUAUUUUAAGAGUUUGUGAACUCUGGUCAUGAUUAUCAGUUUAUUUUGGCAAUUGCAGGACAAAAGGAUUGAAUGUUACCCCUGUCCUCUGUCAAAUCCAUCUGAUCAAUUCUCUAACCUCGGUCUUGUCACGUACCUAAUGCUUUCAUGGUGCAGUUUACUUAAAUUCUCCCAUCUGAUGACUCACAGUUCAACUGUUUGAUAUUAUUUCAUGGAAAUGGUUGCGCUACAGUGCUGUUGCAUAUUGUUUUUUGUGUAUUGUUUGAUGUCGAAGGUUGAUGCAUGCUUUUUUAAACAUCAGGUACCCAAAUAAAUUGUGCAAUGUUGCUGCAAGGAGCCUCGUAAACCAGUACCCAGCACUGAGGGACACAUUGCACCUUGGCCAUUUCUCAUGGUAUAUGUGCCUAAGAAACAAGUACAAAAACAUGCGAAAGUCAAUGCCACCAGGAUGCCCUGAAGUCGACGCAGAAGUGAAAGCAAGAAAGGCAAGCGAAUUGUGACACAUGCUCAAAAUCUGGAUUUUGAAGACAGGUGAUCAGCUGCAAGUUUGCAUGCAUAUUUCAUUAGAUAAACUGACUCUCCUUUCUUUGUUAUGUGGCUUAGUUGAAACAUUUAGUUGCUUCUCAUGAUGUACUUGUUCGUUUCAUUUAAUUUUUUCUUUAACAAAUGCAAACAUGCAAUCCGGCUAUAGCAACUAUAUCUGCAAUGCUGUCAGAGAUUUUGUAGGUGAUCAAAGAAGCAAAAUAUCAUAUCGCAUCGCCACCUUGAACCUAGACUGAAACAUUAGUUCAAGAUGUAGUGGUAGAUGCAUUUAUAGACUAGUAAUACAGCAUUCGUACUGUAAUUACAAUUGAUAUACAUGCUAAGAUGUAGUGAAAAGUGUGUGGCUAUGUUGCUCUGACACUUCAGUUGUUUUAACCCUUCAUUGAGGAGUUCUGCAUACAGCAUACCAAAAAAUAUGAAUUUUUCUUGCUGAUUUUUGGCAUUGGGUAAGAAGUUCCUUGUUAAAUGUAUUGAGCCAGCACUG
rnacentral:lncRNA from 1 species